rnacentral:lncRNA from 7 species
GACACUCAUUCCUAUGUGCUACUUACCUGUGCUGAUUCCCUCUUUGCAUAAUUAGCCAAAAAACGGGAGACAUAAAAGCUUUGCUUAGCAUCUGUUAUCCCAACCUGCCCAUAAUCUCUUUAUUUUCAUUCUUCCCUACAUUUUAAGCAUACCUCAGAAACCGAGAACUCUGCGUACCUGUUGCUUGAUUGCAGGAACACAUCAGGUACCCAGUGUUGGUCUGAGCUGCAGAGAGUAAAAAGAGAGGGAAGAUGCAGACAACCGUCUGUAUCCCUAUUUGAGAAAACAGUUUGAAAUGUAAAGAAUAUUCUUCAUCAAGGAGAACCUUAAAUAUCAUGGAUUAAUGCCAGAUUGGUCAACGGAAGUUUUGGACCUUAGCUGCCAGAGAGCUGCGUGCAUGGUGUUACCAUCACAUCCACUGAAUGUGCUGGAGCUUUCCUGUCAAGGCUGCUUUCUGCAUUGGGUAUCAAUGAGUCACAUUACCUUCUAGAAAACAAAACAAAAAAACAGCCGGACUAAUUUCAAAACCUGCCAUUGGAGAAAUAAUGUGUGAAGACCUUCUGACUGGAGAUGGAGGAAGGAAGGUACAUUUGCUCAGCAUGAGAUACUUUAGAUGUGCAUUCAUGAAGGGUGUAAACAGCCUCACCUGCGGUCUCAGCCUCCACAUAAGGCAGCUGAGCUUCCUUUGUAGGUAGCAAGGCCCCGCACCAGGCAACUGAGAACACCUGAAGUAAGAGAAUCCUUAUCAGCUGGCAAAGGGGGGCCUCUUCCAUCUCUGGAUCCUCUGGAUAUCUGGAGGCUUGCUUUCAUGGGAAGUGACUAAAAUUGGGUGAUGCUAAUUAUCCUUCAUGUGUAAAUUUUUAAACUAAUAAAUUGUUUCAAGUCUUCU